AUUGAACGACAACUUGUUCUUGCACUAUUUUUGUAAUAUAUUUAUGUUUACAUUCUGAAUUGGUUGUAUAAGAACUUUAGCCCAUACUUUGCAACACAGCGCAGAACCUCACAAGACCGUAAUAAAAUGACCUUGAUAAACCAAAUGCUAUUGCACAUUUGAUAAGAAGGCUGAUUCACAAGAUAACAACAUUUAUUUUUUCAAGAACACAGCAUAUCUUUGAACAAACACAGAUGUACAGCUAAACUCAAUGUAGCUUGCACAAAUGUGUUACAACUUAUCUUUGCUUCAAUAAAUAAUAGAGACAUUAUGCAUUUUGAGAAAUGUUCUUCAGAGAAAUGUCCUUACAGUCUUCAAAGCAAAAGAGAAUCAUGCAUAACCUGAUGCUAAAUGCUUUGUCAAAAAUCAGUUACUGAGGUCUUGCAUGGGAUGCUUGGGGAAAUUGUACUGGGAUUAUUGCGGUUUACCAUUGAGAUAAAAUCAAAUAAAAAUGCAAAAAUAAUAAUGUUGAUGCAGUGAAUAAAGGGCUUUCAGAGUUUUGAAGAGUCUUCCCACACAUCUCCAUCAGAAUAGACACUGUGGACGGGUCCUGGUAUGUGUAGUAAGGGUCACGGUUACAGCACAGACAUUCAGUGUCCCUCCAGGCAAAUUAUUUAACUGGGAAAAGCGGAACACGUGUCUGACAAUGAAAACAGGUAUAAGACAAAAUCUUGGUCUCUUGACAGACUGUCUUGGAUUGCUCCCAGCACUAAAAACAGAAGCAAUGACGCAUCUCUACGCUCCGAACAUACCAUGAGAUAAAACAAAAAGGACAGAAACACCGUCCAUGCUGCCCAUGCAUUAUUUCCUACUGCUCUCAAAAGCUUUAGAAAGAAGUUUAAAAUAUAUUUGUAUGCUGUGUGACGAGUGGGGCGGGGCCAAGAGCCGUGGGAAUGAUUGGAGGCUGGUGGAAAUGAGCGACACCUGCGCCACUCACCGGUCUCCGGAAGGACACAAAAGAGGAGUUACGACAGUGAAGGACGAGAGAGGACCAGGUUACUUUACAUUGUGUGACGAGCACUCCCAGAGGAAUCAGUGUCGCCCUGGAAACCAAAGCAGAACACCUGCACGUCCUCGUCACCGGCUGAUCGGUCACAGCUGCUCCCCAUCAGCCAGCACACUCAAAAGGAGCACACACUGCACUCAGAAGACGGUCUCGAUCCGAAUGCAACGCUGGUCUUCACAGAAAGCAGCGAGUGACCGACAGCCCACACACUUUGGAGGACAUCAGGACACCCACUUUCACCUUGAUUUGGCACCGAAGAGCACGGAGAGCACACGGGAAGCACCAACCAGUAGAAAGCGGAUCAGGACACUUCACCAGGCACCCUUCACUUAUCAAUAAACCCACCCUCCGGGGCAUUUAAUUCA